UACGAAGGGGGCUAGCGUUGUUCGGAUUUACUGGGCGUAAAGCGCACGUAGGCGGAUCGUUAAGUCGGGGGUGAAAGCCUGUGGCUCAACCACAGAAUUGCCUUCGAUACUGUUAGGCUUGAGACCGGAAGAAGGUAAGUGGAACUGCGAGUGUAGAGGUGAAAUUCGUAGAUAUUCGCAAGAACACCAGUGGCGAAGGCGGCUUACUGGUCCGGUUCUGACGCUGAGGCGCGAAAGCGUGGGGAGCAAACAGG
rnacentral:rRNA from 1 species